rnacentral:rRNA from 1 species
AGUGAACGCUGGCGGUAGGCCUAACACAUGCCAGUCGAACGGCAGCACAGUAAGAGCUUGCUCUUACGGGUGGCGAGUGGCGGACGGGUGAGGAAUACAUCGGAAUCUACUUUUUCGUGGGGGAUAACGUAGGGAAACUUACGCUAAUACCGCAUACGACCUACGGGUGAAAGCAGGGGAUCUUCGGACCUUGCGCGAUUGAAUGAGCCGAUGUCGGAUUAGCUAGUUGGCGGGGUAAAGGCCCACCAAGGCGACGAUCCGUAGCUGGUCUGAGAGGAUGAUCAGCCACACUGGAACUGAGACACGGUCCAGACUCCUACGGGAGGCAGCAGUGGGGAAUAUUGGACAAUGGGCGCAAGCCUGAUCCAGCCAUACCGCGUGGGUGAAGAAGGCCUUCGGGUUGUAAAGCCCUUUUGUUGGGAAAGUAAAGCAGCAGGUUAAUACCCCGCUGUUCUGACGGUACCCAAAGAAUAAGCACCGGCUAACUUCGUG